GAUGAAGAACGCAGCGAAAUGCGAUAAGUAGUGUGAAUUGCAGAAUUCAGUUAAUCAUCGAAUCUUUGAACGCACAUUGCGCCCUUUGGUAUUCCUUAGGGCAUGCCUGUUCGAGCGUCAUUUAAACCUUCAAGCUAAGCUUGGUGUUGGGUGACUGUCCGCUUCACGGCGGACUCGCCUCAAAAUUAUUGGCGGCCGGUACAUUGGCUUCGAGCGCAGCAGAAACGCGAACUCGGGCCCGUCGUAUUGGCUCCCAGAAGCUAUCUUCACAAUUUUGACCUCGGAUCAGGUAGGGAUACCCGCUGAACUUAAGCAUAUCAAUAAGCGGAGGA
rnacentral:misc_RNA from 1 species